UCCAGGUCGUGAAAGCAGCUAGUCCAGUUUUACUGAGAAUAAUUCUUAUCGGAGCAGUUUUUCUCUAUUGCCUGGCGCUGGUCGGUUAUGGUGUCCCCACAGUGAUGAGAUGUACUCUAAUGCAAUGGUUCAAAGAAGUAGGAUUUUCAACGUUAUAUGGAGCGAUUUUACUCAAAACAUGGAGGAUAUCCGUUGUAUUCCGGGUACGUUCGGCAGCAAGAGUCCGGAUAACCGAUAUGGACCUGAUAAAGCGGUUGGGUCUUAUCAUCGCAGUGUCACUCUUUUAUCUAAUAGUCAGAACUGUGGUGUCUGCCCCCACGGUAGAGAUUGGCGAAUCGUUACAUGGCCUAAAGGCAUACCAAUGCUCAUAUGAUUGGUGGGAUUAUGCAGCAAAUAUUGGUAAAUAUUUUAUGUUGUUUACAAUUGAUCAUUCUUCGUUUUUUUGUUUUUGUUAUUCGUUAUUCAAAAUGGCAUAUAUUUUUUGUUUUAUGUUGAAACAUUCUACCUAUUGCGUCGAGAUAUCUUUUUAUGUAUGGAUGACUGUCAAAUCCCUAGAAGUAGUGUUUAUAUGAAAUUCGAAUGCCCCUUUAUGUGCCUGAACACGGUUUCGCUCUAUGGGUACGCACAUAGCAACAAGUGAGUUAAACUUACUCACGAGAUCCGGGUUGAUCUCGAUUAAUCGAUGCUUUGCCUCGGAUAGCAUGAAUAGUGACAACACUAGAGAGAGAAAGACCCAGUGUCAAAUCUCUGACUUUACGAUGCGAUAGUGCAAAAAUCGUGAUAAGAUCUUGGAAAAACAACAACUUGAGGCUCUUUCAAAUCUCACAUGUCGACUGCUGCGGGAUACAAAGCAAGUUCGAAAUGAGGUUUUCUUUCUUCUUUUGAAUGUCAAUAUAUGUGGAUUCGAAGAUGAAAAGGGAGCUCGACUGCCUCCCUAGAUCCUAUCCCUAAUACAGCCAUCUAUUAUUUAGAGUGGAAUGGUUAUUGGCAAAGUCUGUGGGCUGGUUAUUAGCGCUCAUUUUUUUCUGUGCAAUUGCCAUUUAUGAUUGCAAUCAUUUUCCCUCAAUCUGUUCCAACGUUUACUAGAAACAUUUUCAUAUGAGUCUGAGACGAUAUUCUCAAUAGGAUUAGCUGAAUACAAGCAUUUAUAUUUGCUUGUAUAAAUUGUUUGCAUCAACCCAAUUUUGUGUUCUUUUGAGUUGGUAUUUCGGCGUGUGUUCGACAAUUACUUUGUCACUCUUAAAAACAACCUAAAAAUGGCAUCCGUAUAAUUCAGUAGCAAUACAAUGAUAACUUCCCCUCUCUCUCUCUCUCUCUCUCUCUCUCUCUCUCUCCCUCACACACACAUUCAGUCUCUUUGUUGAUAUUUAUGUUCACAACUCUCUAUUUCUCUCUCACACAUACUCUCAUACACUCACUGGCUUUGUCUCCUAUCCUUUCAUUGUGUCCUUGUGUAUUGGUUAUAAUCCCUCAUUUGCUCUCCUCCACCGCCGCCCCAGACGCCUUCCAAUAAUCUCGAAAUCAUCCCAAUAUCAUAAUUUCGUUAACCCAUCUUCUUUAUUUUUACCUCGUGUACACUGUACCCCUCUCUAUCUCUUAUACACACACACACACAUCUAUCCAUGUCUUGUUUAUUUUUAAUCGUUAGUAGUAACUGCUGAUGAAGACUGCACGAUCUUCCUCUCAUUUUCACGGUUUGCUCUUCUGUCAUAAUAACACAUCACCAUUCAGCCGCCCCAUACCAUUCCACCAAUCACAUUUCGCCUUUCUCCGUUUUUAUUUUACACCUCAAUGGAAUACUUUUUAUCAUUCCAUUGUUUAAAUCAUUCAGAAUAUUCCUUACUGCAAAAUGUUUGUAUAUUCCGCGUUUCCCCAAUCAUUUCCGAUGGGGAUGCAGAAGAGAAUGUCUCCCGGCGGUUCCACGUUCAGGUUUCCUUUCCUUUCAUGGGCGUAUGAUUACCAUGGUUCUUUUGAUCGGACCCGAUGAGCAAUCUCCUCAAAAUGGGACGAGACUGGAGAUGAGGACAAAUUAAUCAGCGAUAACUCCUCCUGUUUUAUCUCAAAGGAUCUAGGAACCCUAACAGGGAAUGUUGACUGUUAUUCAAUCACAAGCCGAAUACUGUUCGAUCAGCAUCGGGUGACAAGCGCAGGGAAAGGGUUGAAGAGAGCGAACUUGAGGAAUUAAAGCAGCAAUCUAGCCUUCUAAUCUCUUUUGUCGCUGCCUGAAGAGUGACCUGACGUAUCUUCGUCUUCUCCAAAGCGAUGGAAACUUAAGCCAAAUGGUGCCGCUAACUAGGGUACACAUUGUCACACCCAUGACUGAUUCGAAUCAGUAGGCCUCCGUGAAACCACCGAACGGAAUGAUGGCGUAUCGCUUUUCGGCGCUAGCAGCAAGAAAGAUCACUUAACCGGUAAUCUGAUGCAAUUAAAAUUUCAGAUCUGACGGAAUAGUUUUUUCCUUGUUUUGAAGGUUUUGAAUCUUACCACAAAGAGUCUCAUUUACAUAGUUUGGCUGAAAUUUCUUCAUAUACAUAGUUUGUCUGAAAGUUCUUUAAACGUUUUUGUUGGGUUUUUUUUUUUUGUGGAACUCCUCUGCAUGGGCUUAUAAUUUAUUGCGGAUUAAAAUGUCGGGGAAAGUGAUGCGCUAAUUUCCGGUGGGUCGCGACUCGAUGGAUCUGGUGUGGUAUGGUCAUGAUGAUUAAUAAAGAGCCAAAACCACACGCGCGUUAUUAAUAAAGAAGUAAGCGCGGGAGACCAGGGAUGAGCUUUUGAAGGUAAGCUUGUUACCAAAAUCAUAUUAGGCAUAUUAUCUUGGUAGAUCCUGUGUCGGCAUUCGAGGAAGGAAAAGUCAAUAAUGGCAUGAACGUGGAAUAGAGAGAACGAGGGAAUAUGUGGGUUGAGAAGGGAAUAAAAUCAGAGAGAGGAGAUCAUACAGGUGCAUGAAGAGCGAAUGUGACAAAGCAAUUCAGCAUCAGACAAGCAGUUAGGUAAACUUCAUGUAGGUCGUGGAUAAGGUUACACAGAAGAGUAG